CUCAGAGUUAUCCAGACAAGUGAUGCAUCCGUCAGUGUAGCCAGUACAACACUGGCCACAGCUCUCUGUAUAACUCCUGUUGAGGAUUGUAUUAAUCGCCUUCGUCCUUUUAUUGACCAAACACCUUCAUCGCUCCAAGGCUGCUGAGGAGUUGAUCAAACGAUUGAUAUGUUUCACCUUCCUCCUGUUCCCACCCUCCUCCUCCUCCCGGCCAGACCUUUGCCUCCGCCCCCUGUGGUUCUUCAAGGAAUUGAUCAACGGAGGUUUGUGUUAGCAUCAAGUGGUCCUUCUUUUGUCUCACUGGUCAACAACAGAUCACCCCCCCCCCCCACUGUGAGGUGAAGGAACCCUUUCCCUGCCUCUCGCCCCUCCCUGCCGUUUCCGUAUCUCGGACCCCCACUUUGAGUUGAUGAACAUGUUUAACCUUCAUGUUGUCGCGCCCCCCCCCUUGCCCCACAUCGGGGCCUGUCCCUCCACCUCUCUUGAGGAGUUGAUUGAUCAGUCCGUGUGUAUCACAGCCCGCCGACGCAUCCGCCUGGGGGUUUGUGAUUGGCGUGAUUUGAAUAAUAGUAACCCGAUAGGGAUGAGUUGGUUAGACCCUUUUGAAUGUUAAUGGCUAAUGAUUGGAGGUCUCUGAUAGCCCCGCCCAGAGAACAAUGAUGGGAGAGCACGCGGGAAUCACGCAGAAAGGCAGAAGUUAAGUAAACAUGGAAGGAAUGUGGUGGAAGUUUUGGGUGAGCCUACAAAUAAAGGUUUGAACGUGAAGCAUCAACUCAGCGUUCAGCUUGAGAGAAACAGUCUUGGAAACAUGCACCGUCAUCAGAUCAUUACUCCUACACCCCCCAUAUCCAUAGGGGAUAUGAUGCAGUCAUGUACCAUUCACUCUUCAGUCAUUUAGUGGACACUUUUAAAAUAAAGCGACUUCCAGUCACCAAACUAUUUUGGACACGUGUCAUUGAUGAGCCGGUAGGGCUGAGGCCUCUUGCUGAGGGAACAGGUAGACUGUGGUCAUCGUGGUGCCACCAGGUACACUGUGGUCAUCGUGAUGCCACCAGGUAGACUGUGGUCAUCGUGAUGCCACCAGGUAGACUGUGGUCAUCGUGGUGCCACCAGGUAGACUGUGGUCAUCGUGAUGCCAACGGGUAGACUGUGGUCAUCGUGAUGCCACCAGGUAGACUGUGGUCAUCGUGAUGCCACCAGGUAGACUGUGGUUAUCGUGAUGCCACCAGGUAGACUGUGGUCAUCGUGAUGCCACCAGGUAGACUGUGGUCAUCGUGAUGCCACCAGGUAGACUGUGGUCAUCGUGAUGCCACCAGGUAGACUGUGGUCAUCGUGGUGCCACCAGGUAGACUGUGGUCAUCGUGGUCACAAUCCUGAAUCUGAGCUGCAUGCCUAGGUAAAUGUCACAGGGCCAGAUGUACAGAAUAUAGCUUGUGUGGCUUUAUGAUGACCUACACACCCCUGUUCAGAGGGUUGUGUGGUUAUUUAUAGACCUUCACGGAGUCCUCCACCUUUACUUUACAAUAACUAUCCAACAGUGAGUGUGUGUGUGUGUGUGUGAGUUUUUGCUACCUCUAACCCACCCUCUAGCCCUCUCUCCCUCACUCUCUCUUCCCGUCUCUCGCCCACACUUACCCAUUCUCUUGCCCUUUAACUCACUCCACCCCUCUCUCUCCUCCCCCCCCCCUUUCUGUUGUACCCAAUCCCGCUCGCACAAUUUAACCGACCUCUGCGCACCUCUGAUAAGAAACCUUGACUGCCCUUCUCACUCUCUCUCUCUCGCUCUCUCGCUCUCUCUCGCUCUCUCUCUCUCUCUCUCUGAGGGGAAACCAUGGAUACAUACCAGAAUCACACCAUGCAGUUAAAUCCCCCUCCCCACUGCUGGACCACUCUGCUAACGCUGGUCUGGUAUUUGCCCGGCUCUAACCAAAUGGAAGGUUUCCUGCUCAUAAUUGCAGCUCUAAGCCAAACACAAGACCAAGGGAUUUGGCUUGGCAGCAAGGGAAAGAGAUAGGAAAUGCCAGAAAAGACAAAAGGGAAGAAACACACACACACACACACACACACACACAC
ensembl:lncRNA